rnacentral:rRNA from 1 species
UACGAAGGGGGCUAGCGUUGUUCGGAAUUACUGGGCGUAAAGCGCACGUAGGCGGAAUGUUAAGUCAGGGGUGAAAUCCCGGGGCUCAACCCCGGAACUGCCUUUGAUACUGGCAUUCUCGAGUCCGGAAGAGGUGAGUGGAAUUCCGAGUGUAGAGGUGAAAUUCGUAGAUAUUCGGAGGAACACCAGUGGCGAAGGCGGCUCACUGGUCCUGUACUGACGCUGAGGUGCGAAAGCGUGGGGAGCAAACAGG